rnacentral:rRNA from 1 species
UUGGUUAAGUCCCGCACGAGCGCAACCCCUAUUGUUAGUUGCCAUCAUUCAGUUGGGCGACUCUAGCGAGACUGCCGGUAAUAAACCGGGAGGAAGGGUGGGGAUGAACGUCAAAUCAUCAUGCCCCUUAUGACCUGGGCUACACACGUGCUACAAUGGUUGGUACAACGGGGCGCAAGACCGCGAGGUGGAGCAAAUCCCAAAAAACCGGUCUCAGUUCGGAUUGGAGUCUGCAACUCGACUCCAUGAAGUUGGAAUCGCUAGUAAUCGCGUAUCAGCAUGACGCGGUGAAUACGUUCCCGGGCCUU